AUAAAUAGCUCAUCUUCCGCCGUUCUUUGUACAUUCAUUCGAUUUCUUCUUCUCGUUUCUCAAUUUCGCUUCUUUUGCAAUAUUCCGUUUUACGAAUUUUCUUUGUUUGAAAUUGGUCUGAAGAAUGUGAUGAAAGUUGUCGAUUAUGUGUGAUGAUUCUUUAGAUUCAAUUGAUCGAUAAAAACUUCAAUUCGCUACGUUCUUUCUGAUUCUUCAUCCCUUUAAAGAAAACAGUUUUCAUAAGUUUUGUUUUUAGUAAUUUCAGAUUCAGUUUUUCAAGUAAUCAAAUUGGUGAAAGAUAACAUCUU
rnacentral:sRNA from 1 species